rnacentral:rRNA from 1 species
UACGUAGGGCGCAAGCGUUGUCCGGAAUUAUUGGGCGUAAAGAGCUCGUAGGCGGUUUGUCGCGUCUGCCGUGAAAGUCCGGGGCUCAACUCCGGAUCUGCGGUGGGUACGGGCAGACUAGAGUGAUGUAGGGGAGACUGGAAUUCCUGGUGUAGCGGUGAAAUGCGCAGAUAUCAGGAGGAACACCGAUGGCGAAGGCAGUGUUCUGGGCCAGUACUGACGCUGAGGAGCGAAAGCGUGGGUAGCAAACAGG